UAAUAAUUUUUCCGUGCAAAGUGAUACAAACAAACUUUCUAAUCAAUGAUUAAACUUUAAAAUGUCUUUAAAAUAUAUAGAAAAUUUACUACUUCACCAGGACAUUUGUGCUAGGGGACAAUUGAUUGAAUUUGAAUCUUCAGCCUCAGAUAGAGAUAACAGAUCUGCGGUAUCUGCGGCACAUUUUGACAACUCCUUACAUAAUAAUGACACAUCAUCUUUAUACACAACAACCACAGAUUCUGCUGCAAUUUAUUACAACACAAGUACCGAUAGUAGCUACAGCGAUGAAAUUUUAAACAACUUUGAUGAUAUUGCAAAUGAAAAUCCAAUUGAGGAAGCUUUUAACGGACUAACCAUUACGGAGCGUAUCGCACAGAUAAAAAUCAAGACUAAUUGUUCUCUAACAACUAUCGCUGAAAUUUCAAAUCUCUUACGCGACUUGGGGCAUAACAUACCUAAGGAUCCAAGAACCAUUAUGAAGACGAAAGUUUGCGACUUAACCAAGUUAAAUAACGGUGUCCAAUGCAACAGCAACUCAUUCGUCCACCUUGGAUUAAUUGAAGGGAUAAGGAAAAAAUUGAUGAACGCCGACAAAAAGCUGAUGAUGCUUAUUCUUCAAUUUAAUAUUGAUGGUUUACCGCUCUGGAGGAGUAGCCGCACGCAAUUCUGACCAAUUGUUUGUCGCAUUAUUAAUUGUCAAGAUAGUAGUGAAUUUCUCGUCACUUUACACUGUGGAGUUGGAAAACCGCUAAGCGUCAGAUCAUAUCUUCGGCCUUUUUUGGACGAAUUAAAAGCGCUUUUAAACGACGGAUUACUUCACUUUGGGCAAAAAUUUGACAUUCGAAUUGGCGCUUUCUGUUGUGACGCACCAGCUCGCGCAUUAAUCAAGAAAAUCAUUGGACACACGGGAUAUUGCGCAUGUGAACGAUGCGAAACACAUGGAAUGAGAUCUGAUAAUAGAACGACGUUUCCACAACUAACGGCAGCUUUAAGAACUGAUGAGUCUUUUAGAGCUGGUUCUGAUGAACAUCAUCAUAAUUCCAUUAGCCCUCUUGAAGAAAUCGAUAAUUUAGACAUGGUGUUUGACAUACCGUUGGAUUAUCUUCACCUGGUUUGUUUUGGAGCCAUGAAACGCCUUCUGAAAAUGAUUUGGUUGGAACAACACCCCGAUUGCCUGAGUAAGCAACAACAACGAUUGAUAAAUGAAUUAAUCAGAUUAUGUGCCAUGCAACUACCAAAGGAAUUCAAUCGAAAAGGUCGAUCGCUUGAGGAUAUAAGUAACUGGAAAGCCACAGAAUUUAGGACGUUUC